AUGGACAAUGCUAGCUUUUUUAUCUUAUGUUUUGAGGACAAAACAUAUCUGAUUGGGAGGUUAAUGGAUUUCUGGCUGAAAAGAGGAUCUUUAAAAAAACACCAAAAAACUUCUGUCAAGACAAUUGAAAUAGAUAUGGAAGCAUCAACAUCCAAGAGGCUUACUCUAGUUGGGACAAGCAGUUGGAUUUAGGCAAAGAAUGAGAAGGCAUGACUGGACUACAACUCUU
rnacentral:lncRNA from 1 species